CUUGAAACACGGACCAAGGAGUUUAGCGUGUACGCAAGUCAUUGGGUGUAUAAAACCCAAAGGCGAAAUGAAAGUAAAGAGUCGAGAUUUGUAAAGAAGUUUACUCUUUCUUACAAUCUCCUCUUUAGGGAAGAUGGAAAUAUCAUACAGUAAUGUAUGAAUAUUUCCCGCAUUCCCAGGGCGCUUGUUUCUUGCUUUGCGAGUCGAUGCGCACCUAGAGCGUACACGCUGAUACCCGAAAGAUGGUGAACUAUGCCUGGCCAGGACGAAGCCAGGGGAAACCCUGGUGGAGGUCCGCAGCGAUUCUGACGUGCAAAUCGAUCGUCGGAGCUGGGUAUAGGGGCGAAAGACCAAUCGAACCAUCUAGUAGCUGGUUCCCUCUGAAGUUUCCCUCAGGAUA
rnacentral:rRNA from 1 species